rnacentral:ncRNA from 16 species
GCGAGAAUGGUCAAAUUGGUAAAGGCACAGCACUUAAAAUGCUGCGGAAUGAUUUCCUUGUGGGUUCGAGUCCCACUUCUCGCA